rnacentral:rRNA from 2 species
AAUGGGCGCAAGCCUGAUGGAGCAACACCGCGUGAGUGAAGAAGGGUUUCGGCUCGUAAAGCUCUGUUGUUGGAGAAGAACGUGCGUGAGAGUAACUGUUCACGCAGUGACGGUAUCCAACCAGAAAGUCACGGCUAACUACGUGCCAGCAGCCGCGGUAAUACGUAGUGGCAAGCGUUAUCCGGAUUUAUUGGGCGUAAAGCGAGCGCAGGCGGUUGCUUAGGUCUGAUGUGAAAGCCUUCGGCUUAACCGAAGAAGGGCAUCGGAAACCGGGCGACUUGAGUGCAGAAGAGGACAGUGGAACUCCAUGUGUAGCGGUGGAAUGCGUAGAUAUAUGGAAGAACACCAGUGGCGAAGGCGGCUGUCUGGUCUGCAACUGACGCUGAGGCUCGAAAGCAUGGGUAGCGAACAGGAUUAGAUACCCUGGUAGUCCAUGCCGUAAACGAUGAGUGCUAGGUGUUGGAGGGUUUCCGCCCUUCAGUGCCGGAGCUAACGCAUUAAGCACUCCGCCUGGGGAGUACGACCGCAAGGUUGAAACUCAAAGGAAUUGACGGGGGCCCGCACAAGCGGUGGAGCAUGUGGUUUAAUUCGAAGCUACGCGAAGAACCUUACCAGGUCUU